CAGCCGCCGCGGUAAUACGGAGGGUGCAAGCGUUAAUCGGAAUUACUGGGCGUAAAGCGCACGCAGGCGGUCUGACAAGUCAGAUGUGAAAUCCCCGGGCUUAACCUGGGAACUGCAUUUGAAACUGUCAGGCUGGAGUCUUGUAGAGGGGGGUAGAAUUCCAGGUGUAGCGGUGAAAUGCGUAGAGAUCUGGAGGAAUACCGGUGGCGAAGGCGGCCCCCUGGACAAAGACUGACGCUCAGGUGCGAAAGCGUGGGGAGCAAACAGGAUUAGAGACCCGGGUAGUCCCUGUCUCUUAUAC
rnacentral:rRNA from 1 species